ensembl:lncRNA novel transcript
AUCCCUGCAGUGAUUCCUCAGUAAUUCACCACCAGAAGCACCAUCACCUUCCUUCUGUGUCCCUCCACAAAGCCAGUUGGGACUUCUAGAUAUUUUUGAAGGCAUAUUGAACUAGAUGGUGUUCUAGGGUACUAAUUUCAAGCUGUUGUUCUCCUAACCAUGCCACCAUAGCAGCAAUUUUAUUCUGAUGCAUAGAUUUGUAUAGAGAGGGGAACGGAACAAAGAUAAAGAAACAGCCACGUGGACGUGUGGUGGAAGAUCGUUUGAAGGAGGAGAAGAGCAAGUCAAAGGCCCUGAGGCAAGAGCACACUGGGCAUGUUCAAGGGCCUGCCCUGAACAAUCGUGUACAGGGAGUACAAGUCCCUCAUUCCUCUGCAGCAGCAGGAAAUGGGCUCUGUCCAGGCCACUGGACUCCACUGAUGUGCUGAAUAAGUGGAACUCGUCUUUUUGAAAUGAAUGCCUCGGGUACGUCCUGUUCCCAGCUCCUUCUCCAGCACCCGCAGCCCCUCGGCUGACAUUUCAGAAACACAGCCCAAGCUGAAAUGGGCAGCCUGCCCAUGGAAGAGAUGGGGCAGAGGGAGACUGUGGCCUGUUCACACAGUUUGGUGGAAAGUGAAGACUGAAGGGGCUUCAUCGGGUGCUAUGGGAUACCUGCAUUUCACUGUACAACCUUGGACUCUCCCUCCCUCCAUGAGCAAUAGGAGAACUCCUAGGAACAAGUCUAACACUAGGACUUCCAGCAAUCUUGAGACUAAAGCCAGAGGUCACGUGAACUACAUAAACUAAAUUCCUCCAAAUACAAACCAAGCUUCCCACCCCAACUCUCCUUAGCUGAAAGGGUGCUCACAGGUACUCCAACACCUCCUGAAGUGUGUUGGAAGUGUGCCCAAGUGGAAAGCAUCAAUAUACUUCAUCAAUUGCUAAGAAGAUAUCAUAUUGUAAUGUUAUUAGUAAUUCAAUUAUUAAAAUGUAUUAGUGUUA